rnacentral:rRNA from 1 species
UACGUAGGGUGCAAGCGUUGUCCGGAAUUAUUGGGCGUAAAGAGCUCGUAGGCGGUUUGUCGCGUCGAAUGUGAAAUCCCGGGGCUCAACCCCGGGCCUGCAUUCGAUACGGGCAGACUAGAGUUCGGUAGGGGAGUCUGGAAUUCCUGGUGUAGCGGUGAAAUGCGCAGAUAUCAGGAGGAACACCGGUGGCGAAGGCGGGUCUCUGGGCCGUAACUGACGCUGAGGAGCGAAAGCGUGGGGAGCGAACAGG